rnacentral:rRNA from 1 species
CACCGCGGUCAUACGAUUAACCCAAGUUAAUAGACAUACGGCGUAAAGAGUGUUAAAGGGUACAACAAUAAAAUAAAGCCAAGACUUAACUAAGAUGUAAAACCCUACAGUUAAAGUAAAAAUAAGCUACGAAAGUGGCUUUAAUAUUUCCUGAUUACACUAUAGCUAAGAUC